CCUACGGGUGGCAGCAGUGGGGAAUAUUGGGCAAUGGGCGCAAGCCUGACCCAGCAACGCCGCGUGAGGGAAGAAGGCUUUCGGGUUGUAAACUUCUUUUAAGCGGGAAGAGCAGAAGACGGUACCUCUUGAAUAAGCGACGGCUAACUACGUGCCAGCAGCCGCAGUAAUACGGAGGUGGCAAGCGUUGUCCGGAUUUACUGGGGGUAAAGGGCGUGCAGCCGGGAAGACAAGUCAGAUGUGAAAUCCCGCGGCUGAACCGCGGAACUGCAUUUGAAACUGGUGUUCUUGAGUACCGGAGAGGUCAGCGGAAUGCCUUGUGUAGCGGUGAAAUGCGUAGAUAUAAGGAAGAACACCAGUGGCGAAGGCAGAUGACUGGACGGCAACUGACGGUGAGGCGCGAAAGCGUGGGGAGCGAACAGGAUUAGAUACCCUUGUAGUC
rnacentral:rRNA from 1 species